UUUAAGUGAAGAGUUUGAUCCUGGCUCAGAGUGAACGCUGGCGGUAGGCCUAACACAUGCAAGUCGAACGGCAGCACAGGAGAGCUUGCUCUCUGGGUGGCGAGUGGCGGACGGGUGAGGAAUACAUCGGAAUCUACUCUGUCGUGGGGGAUAACGUAGGGAAACUUACGCUAAUACCGCAUACGACCUACGGGUGAAAG
rnacentral:rRNA from 1 species